GCAGAGACCACUCAUCAAGGCCAUAGAGUCAGUUUCUCUAGGAGGAGACUGUGGGAAACUAUCAAAAGCCUUGGAAAGAUCCAAGGUGUACCCUGCAUCUUGAAUGGCCCCCUGAAAGCAAUGUCCUUCUCCAAAGUAGUUCUCCAGUGAAUAGGCUAGUAAGCUCACAGUCACAGCAUCCUUAUGGAGGUACUGCAUACCAAACCCGCAUCUGUGACACUAGAUGACUUAAGACAAAGCAAAGCAUUUACAGUAUUUACCAUGUUUAUUAAUCAAAAUUAUCUCUGUCAACUACUAUUUGUAGUGUUACAGAUAUCAAAAUAAAUCUCUCAAUAGCUU